UUGAACUUUCUAAGGAAUAG
rnacentral:miRNA from 1 species